UGCUACCAUAUUAGUGGGAUUUUUUUUCCCACCAAUAUGGAGUAUAAUAGUAUUGGUUUGUUGCUUCUAAGCAUGCCAGAGAGCUUGAGAAAAGAAAGUUAUGAAUGCAGCACUUUAAAUUUUCAAUACAAGAUCUAUAUAAGGGACCUGAAAGUCUCUAUGAAUGCCCACCAUCCUCCAAAUCCUUAUAUUCUGUACAUGCAGGGCUGAGAUUUCUGAAAUCAAACCCAAAUUCUAAUCUUGUAGGUAGUUGUGUUAUAAAAUAAAAUGAAUUUUCAGUUUCACUGGAUCUCUUAGGUUACAUAAAGUAUUGAUAGGAAAACAGAGGCAUUCUAAAAUUUGGAAUGGAAAAAUAUGGGCAUACUCUCAUAAAGUUGGGAUCUUGAAUCCUUAAGUUCUGCUGACAUUGCUCUGUCAGUACAUGCAGCCCUUAUCUGAGAAAAUAUUUUUCAAUUUGUAACUCUAGACAUUUUGGGGAACAUGGGUGGGAAUGGAUCAUAGGGUGAGAGGAAUAUAAAGUUAGCCACAGCUGAGAAAGUUCAAUGGCAGAUGACUGACUGGAAGUAGUAAUGAGAUCACUGCUCCUUCCAUAAUGGGAGUGAUCCCAUGUAAUCGAUCUGUCAUUAGGUGGCUGGCUGAUGCUGCUGGGGACUGAUAUGGUGUCAUAUUAGCAUCAAGAGUCAGUUGGGAGUGGAGUAGGAUAGUGUUUUCUACUGUCCACAGUGUUUUCUACUGUUUGGUACUUGGUGGGUGUAGCUAGAUCUGUGAUGAAGGGAUGUACAUGUUUCUGAGACGAUAUAUACCAUAUAACCUCCGUUUCUGCCACCAUGGCCACUUUUUUCAUAAGCCCAUUAAGCCCUUUGUUUAUAAGUCAGGCUAGCCUCUCCUGCUGCCUUCAUCAGAUUUUCACCUUCCACGUAUCUGAUUUGUGACUCCUAUAGACCAUCUGCAUCAAGGAAGUUGGAGACUUCCAGGUGGCAAGAGACUGCCACAGGUACACGUUGUCCUGGGUUACAGCUCACCCCAAUAUGUUCCAGAUGGUCCUAUUUUCACCCACUUCAUGUGCAGCUAUCUUUCCCAAAUGUUUGCCCUAUCUAGCUCCACACACAUAAAUAACAGACAUCCAUAAACUCUAACAGUUUCACACAGUUGUAUAAAGUGAAAUCCCUAUUUUAAAAAUCCCUCUUUCUAUUCCACUCUCAGUGGUUCUUUUUCUGUGAUCAAACUCUGACUGAAAAAGUCCAGGGGAUCUGUCCUGGGGAGCAAGAGUGAAAGAUAAGAAUAGUGAGGCAGACAAGGAGAGAGAGAGAGCAGAUUUAAGAAUUCAUCACCUAACUUACUCCCAUUAAGGGUGAUUAAUAGCCUGGUACUGAGAGACUAUCACAGCGUCUGAAAAAAACCCCAGCAUCUCAAGAAAGAGAAGAAUUUAUCUGUCAGUUCCUGUUUUUCAUUGGUCAGAAGUUCACCCAAUGGGAUGUUAAAGCUCCCAUAAAGUGUUAACAGGGAAAUCUUGGGGAAAGACACAAGAGACCAUAAGUGCAUUCAUAAAGUAAGGUCCUGUCCGCUUGAGCCUAUGUGAAGUUAGUUGGAGCCCAUGCAAGGCUGGUUGUUUCCAUGGCAGCUGAAAUAGAAAGCAGGUAAGGCUGAGAAAAUCUAAAGUUGUGUCUGUAAGGUUUCUGAUACGUCCACCCCUUGAGCCACACAGACCCACUUCUGCCAGCAUUAUAUCCUCCCACACUGUAAUAUGAGCCUCCACUUUUGUGAAAAUAAAGUUACCCUCACUUUCUUCCCAAGUGGAAAGUUAUAAAUCCAGUGGAGAACAGAGUUUCCUUCAAAACCAAAAUUUCUAACAGGCUAAAAUAAUAAUUUUCCCCUUUGCUGCAGCUUCCCUCAAGAUUAUAGUAGAUAUUCACCACCUGCUACCUCCGUCACCCAUUCGAAAUUUCCUUGCCCUCAGCUGGCACUUUUGCUCAUUUGGAUUGCUUGUCUGGUGUUACGACCUAGAUCAUCAUUCUUCAGGGAUCUGAAACAUUUAGCUGCUUUAUGCUCAUUGGACUGUGGUUGCUGCAACUGUUAAUUUGCUAUUCUCACUUAGAAUGAAAGCACCAAGAGACAUUCAAGGACUCCAUUGAGUUCUAGACUUCCUUCUCUCUGCCCUUACAGUAUCUCUCUGCCCUUGUAGCACGUCUCGUUUCUUAUGGAGAUCAGAGUCAAAACCCCUUGCCUGUAUAGUGCCUUUUUUCUUUGCCUUUUCCUCCAAUGGCAUGAUGAGUUCAAAGUGUUCAGAAAGCUAAUGGGAAUUUAUUGUUUUUCCUAGCUGAAAAUUCCCCCCCCCCUCCCCAGGAACCUGGAAAUUGAAGCCAGCGGAGUCUAAAUUUCCAGGGUUGAGAAGCACAAAUUCUGCAGGUCAUUCUCUGUGAGUAAUGAAGAGAGGGAAGGGUCCUUCUCCCACUAUUGUAUUCAAGAGCCUCGUGUUCCUGUUAUUGGGACACAGCACUGUCAUUCAGUGUAUAUGGUAUAUCCUGAAGGUCAGUGCCUCAACCCUCAAGCUGGUGCUUUAGUUGAGUCUCUAACAGGCCAUUCCAUCUUCUGCUGAUGAUUUCUGGGCAAAACGAUACAUAGUCAAUCUAGUGGAUUCCAUGAUUGUGUACACAUUGCCAUAUCUCACUUGCCAUAAAAUGAGCCCCUUGAUUGGAAGCAAUGUUUAGUGAGACACAUGUUGCUAGAUCAGUCUUUUUGAGUGUCCUGGAUGGUGGUGUUGAUGACGGUGCUAAAAGCAAACCAACAUUUGGAACAGAUGUAGAUUACAGUAGGACAAACUGCUGUUCCCUCCGUAGUGGAAGAGGCCCGGCACAAUCAUCUGAUGCCAAGUAGCUGUCUAGUCUCUGCUGCAAGCAUACGGGGCAUUCAGUAGUAGAAGUAGCUAGAUCUGUUUUGGAAACGGGGAGUCAUGCUGUCAGACUCAUGCAUUGCCUUCGUCCCUGCUAUCAUCAACCCUCUGCUAGUGGGCCCACUGUAUCAGCACCGAGGAAGGAGGGCCAAGAGGCAAACUGACAGGCAUCCUGCUCAUGUGACUGUUGAGAACCUCCCCUGGGGUGGAUAAUCCUGAGACACAAAGAUCUGCUUGCACUGUUUGUGCCUGUUCCCAUAAGUCCCUCCAUCUACGUACCUCCUCCACAGAUCUCAUUUUCCUCAGUCUUUCAAUCUCAUUUGUUUAUAGGCUUUUCUUUGAACAAAGCCAAGCCAUUGGUUUCUACCCAGGGACCCUUGCAUAUCUACCUCUCAGGCUACUCCUUCAUGUAAAGUGAAUGGACAAGUGUAUUUUCUUGCAGCUUUGCCAUCUGUGAGAAAUUCCCUUUACCACUGUCCUUUAGAACCACCCCUGAGGGGCUGGAAUGGAGCUGUAGUAUAUUUUUGUCUAAAAGCACAUAUCACACUAACCCAUCUGUGAUCCAGGCCUAGGUUAUUUUCUCCUUCCUCAGUUGAUCAGAGAGAACACACCUUCAGACCAUAGGUGUGUGAGCUGAUGAAGAGACAUCCAUGCAAUAGAGGCAGGUGACAUGGGAAUAUGGGCCACUUAUUCAUCACCUAUUUCUGUGAUUUACUCAUAACUUCAAGAACUGCCAGCCCUGAUUCUAAAUAUAACACUUCUCUUGUAUAAUGGAUUGCUACUGUUCACAUCUGCCCUUAUAAGUGUGUGGAUCUGAUAAUACUCCAUUCUUAACAGGAAGCUCCAGUUACAGAGGCACUUGGUGUCCCAUGGACAAGUCGAGUUUCUGCUAGGUGCCAAUAACUAUUUUGCAAGUAGAGACUACUCAUACUGCUGAAAGCAUGUCUUUGCUUCAGAACCCAAGAGAGAACUCAUGAAGAGAUGAGAUUGUCAAACUGAAUAAUCUAAAGAGACUCCUUGGUGACUUAACAUGAAGCGAAUGUCUAGAUAUGAGAGAGUAUUUAAGGAGCUUUCUCUUGGGCUGACCUGGUGAGCCACUGCCAUCUUCAAGUGCCGAUGUGGGAUCCUGGAUACCAUAUGAAAAAGAUGUGAUUGAGGACGACUCACCCCGCCAUAUUUUUUGCAAGACUCCUGAAGGAAAGACCUGCGUUUCUCUUGGGCCACAUCCGUUUCCUUCCAUUUGUUGUCUUUGAUUAAACUUUUAUUUAAAGGG